ACACCUACCGACCCAAAGUGCAUACCCGCUCCUCUCACGGGCUAACCAAGCGGGGGUGGGGGCGAGCACGGGGAGAGGAAGCGAGGGCAGGAAGGGGUGGCGCGAGGACAGGAGGGGGCGCACGGCGGCGGCGCGGGGGGUACGGGCUGGAGCGCGAAGGGCUGCGGAGGAGGGGUGUGACUCCUGAGGGGAACGAGACGGAGAAGAAGGAUAGUCCGAUCUUGGCGCCGUGUGCCGGAGAGCGCGAACGAGCGCCGGGUGUCGGACUGAUCCCAAAGUCCGACCCGUCGCGGAAGCGGCGGCCGCGCCGAGGCCACCUGAGGCUGCCGAGGAGAGGCAUAGGAGGGAGGAUAAAGACAAGUCCUUAGAUAGGUGCUCGUGGUGGGGAAGGGUACCGAUGUGGUCGCCCUGUCUCCCACUCACUCAACGGUAGUCGGUGCCUAGGUCGGCCGCUGGGUGGGAGCCGUCACGGGGUGUGGGUUAGAGCUAACCUAGACCCGCCUCGGGGUGGGGUUCCUCGCCGGCUCUUCGGGACAGUUUCGAUCUGCGCCUGGGGGUUAGGUAACGACAUCCUCACGGGAAGCCGCCACUCCUCCGGGUCCCACUGUGCCGCGACCACGAGGGGUCGCGUCGGUAAAGUGACUGCCGGUCCUAACAACAACAGAGUUCAAGGAGCUUAAGGGCAUGUACGGGCUCACGCUAAACACGAGCAGCAGCGGAAGGACGGUAUCGAUGUAGGUGUCUAGACGUCCAAGGUUCGUAGAAGCAAUAAGAGAUACUAGCCGAUGUGGCGGCAUCACAAAGUAUACGUAGUACAGGGUCCGUCAGUUUACCUAAUAACUUUACUAAGCCCACUGAUUUCGAAGGAUCUAACACUUACUGAAAGAUGUAACCCCGUUUGUCUCCCAGGCGCAACUAAAAAAACGAGAACAACUUGUUGAAUCUCCUCGGGUACACACAUCCAAACCGAUCGUGCUCGGACCACGGUAACCUGUGAUAACAGCUCUCGGUAUAGGUUGUUCGUCUAUCCGAUCUACAACAGCCCACCGUGGUCGUCGGAACGGCCGAGGCGGGACACAUACCAAAGUUGUACACAAAGAAUCAGAAACAACGACUAUUUUGGUAAUCAACAGCUAGAAACCUAAGUAACGAACAGUUGACCCGAUUCUACAAAGUUUAUAUAUCUAGGUACUACAGCCCGUAUCAUGUUACCAUUCUAGGUGAAGAAAUACUACCGCUCCUACUAACAAUCGGACCGUACACCUCGACAUGAUUAUUCCAGAAGUAUAGUGUCGUGGUCUCGCACAGACCGUUCCGAACGAGCGGUACAGAAUGGUACAGUCACUCUGCUCUAACCGGGGAACAGCGGACUAAGAGUAGAAAAACCAGCUAGGAGACCAGUCACGGAGAAGCCAGAUACGGACGAGCAGUAGAUGUUCGUCGGAGCACACAGAGACAAGUGCCUAGAAGUACCGUCGAGGAGAAGAAGAGGAUGAAAAGUGAGGAGUAACAAAUGUCUUGAUCCACGUGGCAACAAGUCGACGGAAGCAGACACGUAUAGGAAAAGUAUAUUGACAAGUAGCCCUUACUCGACCUUUAAUUAACUUUAGAAGUCUCAAGUGUUAAACGGAAAAGUUACGGGGCUUUAUGAAGGUAGCACCCGUGUUCUUACAGUCCUUCCCCACCCCGAUUGGGGAUAAAACCACUGGUAGAGAAGUACGGGACAACUUAUAUUGAAGAGGUGGAUUACUGUAGACAGCUCCCCCGUUGUGGUUUGGUCGUUCGGGCUCCGCGGUGACCGUACCUAUCCCCACCAGCAAUAUUGUAUUCCUAUUAUACGUGUACCUUCAUGAUGAUAACCCGGUUAAAUACGGUCCACAUGUAGUUCUACAAAGUUUAUAUAUCUAGGUACUACAGCCCGUAUCAUGUUACCAUUCUAGGUGAAGAAAUACUACCGCUCCUACUAACAAUCGGACCGUACACCUCGACAUGAUUAUUCCAGAAGUAUAGUGUCGUGGUCUCGCACAGACCGUUCCGAACGAGCGGUACAGAAUGGUACAGUCACUCUGCUCUAACCGGGGAACAGCGGACUAAGAGUAGAAAAACCAGCUAGGAGACCAGUCACGGAGAAGCCAGAUACGGACGAGCAGUAGAUGUUCGUCGGAGCACACAGAGACAAGUGCCUAGAAGUACCGUCGAGGAGAAGAAGAGGAUGAAAAGUGAGGAGUAACAAAUGUCUUGAUCCACGUGGCAACAUACAUAGCAGAAUGGUAGGCUUAAAUCCACAACCGAGUCAGACCUUAAUUAGAUUUUAUAACAAAACUGACUACGAUUUAUGUACAGUUGUGAAUACCAAUAGUACAAAAAUUCGUAUUACUAGACAUGUUAUGACUAUAUGAAUCAUACAAAUGGAUGUAUCAGGUGCAGGAAUUGGCAAAAUAAAAGAGCUAGUUACAUCGAACAAGAUAACUUAGAACUCAAAGAAAGGUACCGUUAUUCCCCUAUAUGAAUUAACUAGACGUUUGUAGUUUAAGACAACUCAGAUUACUACGGAAUAAAACAAGUUUAUUAAACGAUUCUUAAAAAUAGAAACCAUAUGUAGAUUUCUUAACACACAAAUGAAAACCUGUUGAUAUGUAACAACACAGAGUACAUGUAGUUCUCUUAGCGAUUUUUAUGAACGGCUUCUUCUUUUACAACUAACAUGAUGACUUUGAGUCUUAUAGCAAAUGGGAAUCCCCGUACGGAGACAACCCCGGAAAACUCUAUAGUCACAUGGUAGCACCACAAUAUAAAACGUAACACAAAGGAAAAAAUAAACAAAGUCCAAGUCGACGGAAGCAGACACGUAUAGGAAAAGUAUAUUGACAAGUAGCCAUACAUCUAAAUGACUUUGAGUCUUAUAGCAAAUGGGAAUCCCCGUACAUUGACUUAAACAAACGUUCAAAAUAAGUAGCCAUACUAUAUACAAAUGUCGUGCGAUUUUAGUAUAGGUAAUGGUAGAGUUACAGAACAAACGGCAUGUAAUCAUACCGCACGAAUUAGGUUGUACUAUUAACAAGGAAAGCAAUCGUCCCUUACUCGACCUUUAAUUAACUUUAGAAGUCUCAAGUGUUAAACGGAAAAGUUACGGGGCUUUAUGAAGGUAGCACCCGUGUUCUUACAGUCCUUCCCCACCCCGAUUGGGGAUAAAACCACUGGUAGAGAAGUACGGGACAACUUAUAUUGAAGAGGUGGAUUACUGUAGACAGCUCCAUAGAGAUUUCGGUUACGUAAAUUGAAACACACACUAUCGCAACCUUCAUGGGUACAAACCCAGGAGACUUAUAGAGCUGUCUACAUAAAGUACUAACCAACUAUGUUACUUGGCAGCCAGCUCCAUAGAGGUGGAUUACUGGUAGAGAAGUACGGGACAACUUAUAUUGAAGAGGUGGAUUACUGUAGACAGCUCCAUAGAGAUUUCGGUUACGUAAAUUGAAACACACACUAUCGCAACCUUCAUGGGUACAAACCCAGGAGACUUAUAGUGAUACAAUGUCUAUGUUGAGUUAAAUUUUGUUUUUAAUACAAAAACAUGAUGAAUACAUAUUACAUUUAAGAUCUUGGAAAUCGGUCAUUAAGUACUAACCAACUAUGUUACUUGGCAGCCUGGAAACGAAGACUAAUAAGACGGUUAAGAGAUCUUCGUGUUGUUUAAUAGAAGAUCUUUCAUUAUGACAAUUUACCAUAUACCAAGACUUCAUCAUUAUUGGAUUUUUAUCUGGAGAGAGUAAUAUACCAAGACUUCAUUAUUGGAUAUAAAUAUUAUCGAUAUUCCAUACCCAAGAGGUCUUCAAAAAGUAACAAUGUGAUCUUAGUUGAAUUUAUUCACAGUCACGGUUGAAUUAGAUGUCUAACCGACGUACACACCUUAAUCUAAAUAACACUCUGAACAUGAUGGACUCACACAGUCUUCCUUGAUUAAAUCUAUUGUCCACGUAGACUUGUUAUUAGUACACUAUAAAGUUCAUAGUUUGGCUGUUUUACUCUAUCCUUCUUCUUGUAGUUGGACAACUGGAAAAUUUUACUCUGUAACUUCGUAGGAAAACAUCUGGAAACCAAGGAGACAGUAGUAGAUCUGGAAACUCAUAACAUAGUAUACCUUCGGGAGACAACCACAGGUCACCUCUUCCUUGUUUGUAACUCAUGUAAGUCGACAAAAAAGGACCCAUGAUCUAAGCGACUUUGUAAGUCGUUGGACACAGCGUACGUGUCCGCUGUUUCUUUUCCAAACGAGGUAAUGUUAUUAACUGGAUCUUCACAUCGAUGUAUAAAUUUUAUUGUGAAGUCAUAAUAAAGAACAGGAACAUUAUAUACUUUUACGAAGUGAAGUUUAUUACAUUAAGGUAGUCAUAAAUCGAUCUCAUUAUUCGUGGGAAGUCAAAACAAAACAGGCUUGAUCUACGUCUUAGGGUAAUAUUGCUAUAUGAGGGAGGUAAGGAUUUAUAUACAUAAAAAUCUAUAAGGUCAUUCCCGAUGUAUGUCUCUCUCUACUCACUUGGAUGUAAGAUUUCAUACAGAUAUAUGUAGACAUUCAUCAGGCAUAACUUUAUAGGUUUUUUGAAUAUAAAAUAUUGUAUCCCUCAUCGUCUAGCCUUUGUGCGGAACCGUACACCACGGACCGACUUUCAAAACAGAGUCGCAAAUUUGUUUGGUGUUAUAACAACGAUGAACCAUAUCCUAGUAAACAGUUUCGGUAUCGUAUUCCGUUCCGUUAGUGUACAUGGUUUACGUCUCGUUGGUACUUCCUAAAACAGUUGGUAAGCCGACCUUCAAGUACUCCUUACCUGUAAAUAUGAAAAGUAUAUCUAUUUCAGUGUAUACGGCUCUCGUUGACAGAACAGCGGGUACUUCGAGAGAAAAAUAUUAAUUUAAAAGUCCUUUUAUGGUGACAUACUAAUAUAGCCAAAUUGAGGUCAGGUGUAAGAAAUGAAACAGUUCACGUACGAUAUCAAGUGUAUCAUUGAGGUAAAUCCGGUACAAGCAAAUUAGGGGAGCGGUGUCCCUAACCUCCCCUAACCCCUCCAAACUACUCCUAAAACUGAACGUUCCCUAAAUUAGGGGAGGUUAGGGAAAGUUUGGAGAGGUUUGGGACGGAUUGGCUUGUUCCGGAAUACCCAUAAAAUGAAACAGUUCACGUACUAUACCAAGUAUCUUUUUAAGACAAAGGUGAAUAUUCAGUCACUACAAGAGUGGAAUCUAAAAUAAAAAACAUUAACAUCUUUCACCCCUACCUGUAGGUACCUAGACGGUAAGGACUAAACGAAACACCUCCAUACUAGAAAGUAUUACACAAUUGUAUAGAGACCUUAUUCAAGAAUACAAAUCAUGUUAUCAAACCGACUAAUAAAAAAUCUCCGAAAAAAACCUUUCCGAAGUUGUUCGACGAACUUAAUGACGGAAUCCAAGCAUUUUAAACUUGGAAAUUGAAAUAGAACCAAAGUUGGUAGUUCCUAAAUCACUGUACAAGAAUUACUAUAUAUCUCCUCAUCCGUCAUCACGUACCAUUAUUGUUUUUAUGUAGUACACACACACGUACUGUGUACGGGUACUAAGUAUUACUAAACGCUGUCAGAAUCUUCUUUUAAAGGGUAACGACAAGUUGGGGAAAACUCACAAUAAACGUUCAAGUAGGCAAUCACUUUGUAAAUGGGAAAGAACAAAAUGACGAGACAGAGGGAUGAAAAUACCGUCUCUUACCACACCGAAGUAUAUGUUGUUUACAAGAGAUGAGAACGUCGAGUACAUAAUAAGAACUGUUCCAAACAGAUGUGAAUAGAAAUUCCGAUGUUGGACCUCAGAGUACCCACACACUUCUACUAUGGAUUCAUUAGAUCCCGAAACAAUCCCCAAGUGAAUACAUAUGAUAAAGGGACAUAUAGUGACAUUGGACGAAAUACCAAAUCUAAACUCGUGACCUGGUACCACGACCUGUCCCGUGCCGCGGGAUUCUGACGAGAAACCUUAAGGUUAUAUGAACCUCUAUCUUCACUUUCAACUCCUAGUUGUUGUAAUCCUGGCCGUGGGAACGCGGUUCCGCGCUGGGGCUAGAUCAGAGGACAAGUUCCUUCAAGGAACGGUUCGACAGUACAGGAUUGGCAACAUCCAAUCUGUUAACUGAAGAGUACUUAACCAACCUCGUAUAUCAAUCUGAUACUUUGUGAACUGUGACUUCGCGACACAGUUGAUGAUUUUGUAAGUUCCAAAGACAAUAUUUAGACUUAUAGAUAAAAAACACCUGUCAACCAAACGUUUACGUUUCCGUGCACUCUUGAUGAUUACGUAACUCACAACAAGUACGGCGUGAAAACUAAAAGACUGUUAACACACACUGUUGAUGAUUUAACAUCUAAGUCAUCUACCGCACACUUUAUGUGCCACUAUAGUUGAUCCUCAGUAUCGUAACCAUCCCAUUCCCUUCAUCAUGAGACAACUAUAAUAGUAGUUGUGUUUUCUUGAGAAGCAUAUGUGAAAAACACUGAUGUACUAAGGACUUAUUCUAUCUAAGUUUACCAAGGAUAGAAAACUUUAUUCUGGUGGACUUACAGUU
rnacentral:rRNA from 1 species